UACGAAGGGGGCUAGCGUUGCUCGGAAUCACUGGGCGUAAAGGGUGCGUAGGCGGGUCUUUAAGUCCGGGGUGAAAUCCUGGAGCUCAACUCCAGAACUGCCUUUGAUACUGAGGAUCUUGAGUUCGGGAGAGGUGAGUGGAACUGCGAGUGUAGAGGUGAAAUUCGUAGAUAUUCGGAAGAACACCAGUGGCGAAGGCGGCUUACUGGCCCGAUUCUGACGCUGAGGCGCGAAAGCGUGGGGAGCAAACAGG
rnacentral:rRNA from 1 species